rnacentral:rRNA from 1 species
UUGGAGGGCAAGUCUGGUGCCCGCAGCCGCGGUAAUUCCAGCUCCAAUAGCGUAUAUUAAAGUUGUUGCAGUUAAAAAGCUCGUAGUUGAACUUCGGGGUCUACCCAUUGGUCAGGCUUAAUUGUCUGUACUGGUGAGAUGGAUCUCUACCUUCUGAGGAACUUUCAUGCCAUUUAUUUGGUGUGGUUGGAAAUCAGGACUGUUACUUUGAAAAAAUUAGAGUGUUUAAAGCAGACUAUCGUCUGAAUACAUUAGCAUGGAAUAAUGAAAUAGGACGGACUGAUUCUAUUUCGUUGGUUUCUAGGAUCACCGUAAUGAUUAAUGGGGAUAGUUGGGGGCAUUAGUAUUCAAUUGUCAGAGGUGAAAUUCUUGGAUUUAUUGAAGACUAACUACUGCGAAAGCAUUUGCCAAGGAUGUUUUCAUUAAUCAAGAACGAAAGUUAGGGGAUCGAAGACGAUCAGAUACCGUCGUAGUCUUAACCAUAAACUAUGCCGACUAGGGAUCGGACGAUGUUAAAUUUUAUUGACUCGUUCGGCGCCUUACGGGAAAC